rnacentral:rRNA from 1 species
GACGAACGCUGGCGGCGUGCCUAAUACAUGCAAGUAGAACGCUGAAGGAGGAGCUUGCUCUUCUGGAUGAGUUGCGAACGGGUGAGUAACGCGUAGGUAACCUGCCUGGUAGCGGGGGAUAACUAUUGGAAACGAUAGCUAAUACCGCAUAACAGUAGAUGUUGCAUGACAUUUGCUUAAAAGGUGCAAUUGCACCACUACCAGAUGGACCUGCGUUGUAUUAGCUAGUUGGUGGGGUAACGGCUCACCAAGGCGACGAUACAUAGCCGACCUGAGAGGGUGAUCGGCCACACUGGGACUGAGACACGGCCCAGACUCCUACGGGAGGCAGCAGUAGGGAAUCUUCGGAAAUGGACGGAAGUCUGACCGAGCAACGCCGCGGGAGUGAAGAAGGUUUUCGGAUCGUAAAGCUCUGUUGUAAGAGAAGAACGAGUGUGAGAGUGGAAAGUUCACACUGUGACGGUAUCUUACCAGAAAGGGACGGCUAACUACGUG